GCCAGAGCCAUAUCACCCUGCAGCUCUGGCCUGGUGUUCCACUGAAGCUAAACAGAAUUGAGGCUGGCCAGUACCUGGAUGUGAGACCUACUGGAGAAAAAUAAGGUUGCUGCUGGAA
rnacentral:rRNA from 1 species